UGAAUUCGGGGCUCGGCCCGAUCCUCCCACCCUUUGUGUACCUACCUCUGUUGCUUUGGCGGGCCGCGGUCCUCCGCGGCCGCCCCCCUCCCCGGGGGGUGGCCAGCGCCCGCCAGAGGACCAUCAAACUCCAGUCAGUAAACGAUGCAGUCUGAAAAACAUUUAAUAAACUAAAACUUUCAACAAGGGAUCUCUUGGUUCUGGCAUCGAUGAAGAACGCAGCGAAAUGCGAUAAGUAAUGUGAAUUGCAGAAUUCAGUGAAUCAUCGAAUCUUUGAACGCACAUUGCGCCCUUUGGUAUUCCGAAGGGCAUGCCUGUUCGAGCGUCAUUACAACCCUCAAGCUCUGCUUGGUAUUGGGCACCGUCCUUUGCGGGCGCGCCUCAAAGACCUCGGCGGUGGCGUCUUGCCUCAAGCGUAGUAGAACAUACAUCUCGCUUCGGAGCGCAGGGCGUCGCCCGCCGGACGAACCUUCUGAACUUUUCUCAAGGUUGACCUCGGAUCAGGUAGGGAUACCCGCUGAACUUAAGCAUAUCAAUAAGCGGAGGAA
rnacentral:rRNA from 1 species